rfam:Ornithorhynchus anatinus chromosome 5, whole genome shotgun sequence.
AGCAGUGUGGCUUAGUGGAAAGAGCCUGGGCUAGGGAAUCAGUGGUCAUGGGUUCUAAUCCCCCCUCUGCCA